AAACCCACAAAGAAGAAUAAGCUGACGUCAUCCUAUGCAACACUUACACUCCGGUGAGUAGAAAUCUCCACCUGUCAAACUGUUUUUUUACUCCAAAGUGUUACGUUAUAAAGUUACUGAUGGUAGUUUUAGGACUUAAUGGCAGUAGGACUGUGAUGCGAAUGGUUGAAGACACAUCUGUAAAAUUUUUUUGCCGGAAAAUAUAUGGUGGAAGCUAGCUAAAUUAGCCUCUUGGAGGCUAAUUGUACACUGUACCUGUGCUUAAUACGUUUAAUUAGUCAUGAUAGUCACAUAAUAGUGUUUAUAGUCAUGCUUGUUGUUGCCACAUUGUAAAAUUGGAGUGUUGCGAAAAAUAUCAGUGCCCUUAGGCUGUGAUGAUCUUUAAAGUUUUGUUUAUGAACCCUGUCUGAAUACACUGAUUACAGAUAGGUCAUUUACUUGAAUUAAAAAUGAACUUACAUCAGUACAGGCAAAUUUCUUUCCUCUUGUCUAUGUUAUUUAUUGCUGUUGCAAGCCAGAUGAAGAGAAGUAAAGAGCUGAGAACCUAAUCUUUGAACAGACAGAGACCAUAGGUCAGGAGCAGCCUGGGAUGCUUACUGAGGAGCAUCCAAUGAUGCCACCAGAGAACCAGGAAGAUAUUGUGAUAGUGCUUGAUCUUGUUCCCGUUUCUCCUCUGUUGUCCCAUCCUCUCAGUCUUUUCAGAAGAAGAAAAGACCCAGAAGCACCUCUCCAGUUGCCUCUCCUCCCACUCCAUCAUCUGUUUCCCCCCAUAGAUCAGCCACAUCUGCAUUCAUGUCACCUGCUGACCAUGCCGUCUCCUUAAGUCAGGGUGGCCGAUAAGAAGAGAAAGCAUAAGUUUUGUUUUCUUUACAUUCAUGCAUCCAACAUGUCAACCUCUUUAGCAUGAUUCGUACCUGUGAAGAUCCCAGUUAGAAUUUGUGAUUGUCCAUCAGAGUGUUGGUAUGAAUAACAAUUCUUUGAAUGACUCAAAACCAAAAUAUAAAAAAUUAUAUUAUCAAAAUUUAAAUAACUGUCUACUUUGGCUGUUUCGUACUUUGACGUACAUUUCCCAGAAGGGCUGUCUGACUCCAUUCUUGAGUGGUUAUGUUCUUCAACAUUUUGGUGUAACUGGUUAAACACACUUGAAUCAAAUGGCUGAGAUACCACCUCAUUCAUUCAGCAUUCAGAUCAUAUGAAGUCCUGGUAACAUCAAAAUUAAUCGAGUGAGAUGUUUUGUGCCAGAGAAACACCUAAAACUUGAAAGACACCUAUUCUUGAUGCCUGGUAUUUGGACACCUAUGUCCCAUUUUAUGUUUUCUUUUUUUAUCUCUCAUUUUGAAUCAGAUGGGUGAGAUCUCGGCUGACAGCUUCCUGAAAAGACUUUUUGAGUGGGAAGCCACUCAAAAAAAUUUUAAGAUAUGAGUUGGAUAAAAUGUUAAGGAAGGAUCCCUUUAAGUGUCAAGCUUGUGCUUUCAGUUUCAGUGGAUGGAAACUGCAAGUAUUACCAUUUAAAGAAUGCAGCAAGAUUUGAGGAACAGGCUAUAUUUCAGGACCUUUUCAUAGCCAAGGAUGAAAACAU